rnacentral:rRNA from 1 species
GACAGAGGUGCCGAGCGUUAGGCGGAAUCACUGGGCUUAAAGCGUGUGUAGGCGGAUCUGUAAGUACCUUGUGAAAUCCCACGGCUCAACCGUGGAACUGCUUGGUAUACUGGUUCUCUUGAGCCACCUAGGGGCAACCGGAACAAACGGUGGAGCGGUGAAAUGCGUAGAUAUCGUUUGGAACGCCAAUGGUGAAAACAGGUUGCUGGGGGUGUGCUGACGCUGAGACACGAAAGCCAGGGGAGCAAACGGG